rnacentral:miRNA from 1 species
UAGCACCAUUUGAAAUCAGAGC